rnacentral:tRNA from 2 species
GCAACCGCGGCAAGGUGGUGCUGCGCCCCUGACCGGGGCGUCGGCGCCGUCCGCCGGGUGCCGUCAGCGGUCGCGACUCGCCGCGGCCGCC